GCGAACGCUGGCGGCAGGCUUAACACAUGCAAGUCGAGCGGGCGUAGCAAUACGUCAGCGGCAGACGGGUGAGUAACGCGUGGGAACAUACCUUUUGGUUCGGAACAACACAGGGAAACUUGUGCUAAUACCGGAUAAGCCCUUACGGGGAAAGAUUUAUCGCCGAAAGAUUGGCCCGCGUCUGAUUAGCUAGUUGGUGAGGUAACGGCUCACCAAGGCGACGAUCAGUAGCUGGUCUGAGAGGAUGAUCAGCCACAUUGGGACUGAGACACGGCCCAAACUCCUACGGGAGGCAGCAGUGGGGAAUAUUGGACAAUGGGCGAAAGCCUGAUCCAGCCAUGCCGCGUGAGUGAUGAAGGCCCUAGGGUUGUAAAGCUCUUUUGUGCGGGAAGAUAAUGACGGUACCGCAAGAAUAAGCCCCGGCUAACUUCGU
rnacentral:rRNA from 1 species